rnacentral:rRNA from 1 species
UGGGGAAUAUUGGACAAUGGGCGAAAGCCUGAUCCAGCAAUGCCGCGUGAGUGAUGAAGGCCUUCGGGUUGUAAAGCUCUUUUACCGGUGAAGAUGAUGACUGUAACCGGAGAAUAAGCCCCGGCAAACUUCGUGCCAGCAGCCGCGGUAAUACGAAGGGGGCUAGCGUUGUUCGGAAUUACUGGGCGUAAAGGGCGCGUAGGUGGCCUGAUAAGUCAGAAGUGAAAGCCUUGAGCUUAACUCGAGAAUUGCUUUUGAGACUGUCAGGCUAGAGUACAGGAGGGGUAAGUGGAAUUCCAAGUGUAGAGGUGAAAUUCGUAGAUAUUUGGAAGAACACCAGUGGCGAAGGCGACUUACUGGACUGUAACUGACACUGAGGCGCGAAAGCGUGGGGAGCAAA